AUGGAUCGCAAUCGACACGCUGCAGUUUGGUCCGACUCUCCUUCAUCACCACUAGAAAACCGUAACAGAAUCACCCACCACCAACGGACCAAGCGGCGUGUCAACAGGCAGGAGCGGCCGAAGAAGGAGAUGCUCAACAAGGAUUUCUGGUCAUGGGAGGAAAUCUUCGAUGGGAGAGGACCCUGGGCUAAAUCAGGGGAGUGUAGCCGCCCAAAGGAGCAGCAGGAACAGAGGCACCAGAGGCAGCAGCAGCAGGAGCAGCAGCUGCAGUGGGAGAGGCUGCACUACAUGGAGAAAUGGUCAUGGGAGGACGAACUGGACGGAAAUGGACCCUGGGAUCAGCCUGGAGAUUAUUGUCGCCCCAAAGCCGAGCUGGAGGCAGCAAAAGCAGAGAGGCGGCAUUAUGAGGAGCUAGCACGGCAGAGCGGAUGGAAGCCCGAGAGUCAGCCCCUUAAAUUUCUUGGGGGGGGGCUCACAGGGAGUAUGGCUACGCCAGGUAGGAGACCUGCGCAAACUCCCUGUGCUUACCGGGGGGCUGGAGAGACCGGGCAGGCACCGUGUUAUGCUGUGGAGCGCACGGUGUCUCCAGUGCGGGUGCACAGCCCGGUUCGGUAUAUUCCAGCUCCGCGUAUCGGCCGGGCUAGAUUGAGCGUCGAGCCAAAUGCCAUGAAGCCGGCUCUACGCGUCUGGUCUCCAGUGCGUCUCCUCGGGCCGGCUUACAUGGCACCAGCCUUGCGCUCGGUGUCUCCGGUUCGCCUGCAUAGCCCAGUGCGGGCUAUUCCACCUCGCCGCACUUGCAGGGCAACCGAGAGCAUUCAACCAGGUAAGGUUGGGCAGGCUCGGUGCUCAAGAGCUCCAGUGUGCCUGCACGGCCCGGUCUAUCCGUCACCACCUCCACGCACCAGUCCUCCGGUGGCAGCCCCCCGCACUAGGCUGUCUCUCCGGCCCAUCCUUACGGGGGCUCCCUCUUCUCCUGCGCUGCCGGAGUCUCCCGCCUGUUCAGCGCAGCCAGAGCUGUCAGUCUGCAUGGAGCAGCCAGAGCUGUCAGUCUACAUGAAGCAGCCCGAGCUGUCAGUCUGCCUGAAGCAGUCAGUCUACAUGAAGCAGCCCAAGCUGCCAGUCUGCAUGAAGCAGCCAGUCUACAUGGAGCAGCCAGAGCUGUCAGUCUGCAUGAAGCAGCCAGAGCUGUCAGUCUGCAUAGAGCAGCCAGAGCUGCCAGUCUGCAUGGAGCUGCCAGUCUGCAUGGAGCUGCCAGUCUGCAAGGAGCUGCCAGUCUGCAAGGAGCGGUCAGUCUGCAAAGGGCUGUCAGUCUGCAAGGAGCUGUCAGUCUGCACGGAGCUGUCAGUCUGCACGGAGCUGUCAGUCUGCAAGGAGCUGUCAGUCUGUAAGGAGCUGCCAGUCUGCAACGAGCUGUCAGUCAGCACGGAGCCGCCAGAGCUGUCAGUCUGUAAGAAGCCGCCAGAGCUGUCAGCCUAUAUGGAGCAGCUAGUGCCGCCAGUCUGCCCAGCGCCGCCAGUGCCCCCAGUCUGCCCAGCGUCGCCAGUCUGCCCAACGCCGCCAGUCUGCCCAGCAUCGCCAGUCUGCCCAGCGCCACCAGUCUGCCCAGCAUCGCCAGUCUGCCCAGCAUCGCCAGUCUGCCCAGCGCCGUCAGUCUGCCCAGCGCCGCCAGUCUGCCCAGCACCGCCAGUCUGCCCAGCGUCGCCAGUCUGCCCAGCAUCGCCAGUCUGCCCAGCGUCGUGA
rnacentral:lncRNA from 1 species